CUUGGUCAUUUAGAGGAAGUAAAAGUCGUAACAAGGUCUCCGUAGGUGAACCUGCGGAGGGAUCAUUACACAAUUAAAAUAUGAAGGCUUCGGCUGGAUUAUUUUUAUCACCCUUGUCUUUUGCGCACUUGUUGUUUCCUGGGCGGGUUCGCCCGCCACCAGGACCACACCAUAAACCUUUUUUAUGCAGUUGCAAUCAGCGUCAGUAUAACAAAUGUAAAUCAUUUACAACUUUCAACAACGGAUCUCUUGGUUCUGGCAUCGAUGAAGAACGCAGCGAAAUGCGAUACGUAGUGUGAAUUGCAGAAUUCAGUGAAUCAUCGAAUCUUUGAACGCACAUUGCGCCCUUUGGUAUUCCAAAGGGCAUGCCUGUUCGAGCGUCAUUUGUACCCUCAAGCUUUGCUUGGUGUUGGGCGUCUUGUCUCUAGCUUUGCUGGAGACUCGCCUUAAAGUAAUUGGCAGCCGGCCUACUGGUUUCGGAGCGCAGCACAAGUCGCACUCUCUAUCAGCAAAGGCCUAGCAUCCAUUAAGCCUUUUUUUCAACUUU
rnacentral:rRNA from 1 species